UGAGCAAUCUGCCCUUCUCUUCGGAAUAAGCGUUGGAAACGACGUCUAAUGCCGAAUACGACCUCCUUUCGCAUGAUCGGAGGUGGAAAGCUCCGGCGGAGAAGGAUGAGCUCGCGGCCUAUCAGCUAGUUGGUGUGGGUAAUGGCCCACGAAGGCGACGACGGGUAGCCGGCCUGGAGGAGGGUCGACCCGGCCACACGUGGGACUGAGACCACCGGCCCAGACCUCCGUACGGGGAGNAGCG
rnacentral:rRNA from 1 species